UACGUAGGGUGCAAGCGUUAUCCGGAAUUAUUGGGCGUAAAGAGCUCGUAGGCGGUUUGUCGCGUCUGCUGUGAAAACUGGAGGCUCAACCUCCAGCCUGCAGUGGGUACGGGCAGACUAGAGUGCGGUAGGGGAGAUUGGAAUUCCUGGUGUAGCGGUGGAAUGCGCAGAUAUCGGGAGGAACACCAGUGGCGAAGGCGGUUACCUGGAGCUUUGCUGACGCUGAUGCGCGAAAGCGUGGGGAGCGAUCCGG
rnacentral:rRNA from 1 species